AACGAACGUUAGCGGCGCGCCUAACACAUGCAAGUCGAACGCGACGGGGGCAACUCCGUUGAGUGGCGCACGGGUGAGUAACACGUAGGUAAUCUUCCCUCGAGUGGUGGAUAACCCUCCGAAAGGAGAGCUAAUACAGCAUGAGACCACGGCUUCGAAAGGGGCUGAGGUCAAAGCGGAGGAUCGUAAGACUUCGCGCUUGAGGAUGAGCCUGCGGCCCAUCAGGUAGUUGGCGGGGAAUGGCCCACCAAGCCUAAGACGGGUAGCUGGUCUGAGAGGAUGAUCAGCCACACUGGAACUGAGACACGGUCCAGACUCCUACGGGAGGCAGCAGUGGGGGAAUCUUGCGCAAUGGGCGAAAGCCUGACGCAGCGACGCCGCGUGGGUGAUGAAGGCC
rnacentral:rRNA from 1 species